CUGCUGCCUUCCGUAGGAGUCUGGGCCGUGUCUCAGUCCCAAUGUGGCCGUUCAACCUCUCAGUCCGGCUACUGAUCGUCGCUUUGGUGGGCCGUUACCCCGCCAACUGGCUAAUCAGACGCGAGCUCAUCUUUGGACGAUAAAUCUUUGGCAGCAAAAUCAUGCGGUCCUGCUGCAUUAUGCGGUAUUAGCAGUCGUUUCCGGCUGUUAUCCCCCAUCCAAAGGCAGAUUGCUCACGCG
rnacentral:rRNA from 1 species